UACCUGGUACUGCAUGAUCUGAGGUCCUAGCAAAAUAAAUCUGGAGGCACGGUCUCUUUGUCAGCCCAAAAACAUAACGAUCUCCCAAUUCUAGAGACAGCAAAGGGUUUGAACUAUGCAAAAAAUGCAAUGACUUGGGAUAGUUUACUAGAGGGUUCACUUCCAAUAAGUAGGGAAAGGAAAGGGAGGUUGGAAUAACAAAUCAAAGAGAAAAGGGAUGAAAAUGAGAGAUUAAGGGAGUGCUGCAUAGCCAACCCAAGGCAGAUGAGGAGGGUAAUCUGUCCUGCAAGUUAAUUCAUCAGCCUUUAUAUGUGCUCAGUACAACAGAGGAGAAAAGUAGUAUAUGUAUCCGAUUUGUAACAAGCUAAAUGCGUCUGCGCUUGUUACUUCCUUGUGAAAUGAACCGCAACUUUCUUCAUUGAAAUUUAAAAAAUGCCUUGUCCUCUCUUAUUCCAGUCUAUCUGCUGGUUUGCUGGGUCCCGUUAGUCACAAUUGGCUUCUUUGAAACCUUUUACCCUCAUAAUGUUCCUGCGAUGGCAAAAUUGGUUUCCAUUUGGCUUGCUGCACUAAUGCCCGGUUUGAAUCCUUGGAUCAACUCCCUGGCCCAAAGGAAAUACAGGAAGGCUUUGCGAGAGAGUUGGCGGAAGCUGAAAAGGGUCUUUGAGAACAUGGGAUCCAAUACAGAGUCAUCAAGUGAGAAUGACAGACAUUCCAGCAUCCAGUCCCACCACUGCUUGCCAGGACACAACACAGAGAAUUUAGCUCAAACCUGAGUGGGAAAAAAGGUUCCUCAACAUACACAAAGCAUAUUCUGCGGCGGACUCAUCUUUGUGGUAGAAAAAAACAAAAAAGGAUGACAAACAGCUAGAAUUCAAGAAUUCCUCAGCAAUAUCUUCUCAUGCAAGUACUGCAGUUGUGGAAUUUCUGUGUAGUGGACAAUCUAGUUCCAAGAAGAAACGGAAUUUCCUUUUAGGAAUGUGUUAAACACUCAAUGAAGAACGGACUCAAGCGGGGGGGGGAGGGGAGGACAUCAAAAAAACUGUGAAAUGACCAAAGAAUCUUUGGUUAGGAGACGACCUAACUUCAAGUUGACGGUUCAAACUAGUAGCGUGGUCUACCAAUUUCUUUAGUUUUCUGUCUUUGACGUGCAUAUUUAUUAAAUGUCUCAAGCUAAAUGUAAUGAAUUCAAUAUGUGAUGCAGUUACUAUAUAUUCAGAUAUGCAAAUACGGAAAUAUAGCAAACGCUAAAAAAACAUUAAGUUGUUUUGCAUUGCCAUUCUGCUACACUGAAUGUCAUAAGAAAGAGUGUCAUAAG